rnacentral:rRNA from 1 species
GAGAGGUGCUGCAUGGCUGUCGUCAGCUCGUGUUGUGAAAUGUUGGGUUAAGUCUCGCAACGAGCGCAACCCCUAUCGUCUGUUGCCAGCAUUAAGUUGGGCACUCUGACGAGACUGCCUGGGUUAACCAGGAGGAAGGUGGGGAUGACGUCAAGUCCUCAUGGCCCUUAUGUCUAGGGCUACACACGUAAUACAAUGGCGCGUACAGAGGGAUGCGAACCUGCAAAGGGGAGCAAAUCUCAAAAAGCGCGUCUCAGUCCGGAUUGAAGUCUGCAACUCGACUUCAUGAAGUUGGAAUCGCUAGUA